rnacentral:sRNA from 1 species
CUUGGUCAUUUAGAGGAAGUAAAAGUCGUAACAAGGUCUCCGUAGGUGAACCUGCGGAGGGAUCAUUACAAGAACGCCCGGGCUUCGGCCUGGUUAUUCAUAACCCUUUGUUGUCCGACUCUGUUGCCUCCGGGGCGACCCUGCCUUCGGGCGGGGGCUCCGGGUGGACACUUCAAACUCUUGCGUAACUUUGCAGUCUGAGUAAACUUAAUUAAUAAAUUAAAACUUUUAACAACGGAUCUCUUGGUUCUGGCAUCGAUGAAGAACGCAGCGAAAUGCGAUAAGUAAUGUGAAUUGCAGAAUUCAGUGAAUCAUCGAAUCUUUGAACGCACAUUGCGCCCCCUGGUAUUCCGGGGGGCAUGCCUGUUCGAGCGUCAUUUCACCACUCAAGCCUCGCUUGGUAUUGGGCAACGCGGUCCGCCGCGUGCCUCAAAUCGUCCGGCUGGGUCUUCUGUCCCCUAAGCGUUGUGGAAACUAUUCGCUAAAGGGUGUUCGGGAGGCUACGCCGUAAAACAACCCCAUUUCUAAGGUUGACCUCGGAUCAGGUAGGGAUACCCGCUGAACUUAAGCAUAUCAAUAAGCGGAGGAAAAGAAACCAACAGGGAUUGCUCUAGUAACGGCGAGUGAAGCAGCAAUAGCUCAAAUUUGAAAUCUGGCGUCUUCGACGUCCGAGUUGUAAUUUGUAGAGGAUGCUUCUGAGUGGCCACCGACCUAAGUUCCUUGGAACAGGACGUCAUAGAGGGUGAGAAUCCCGUAUGCGGUCGGAAAGGCGCUCUAUACGUAGCUCCUUCGACGAGUC